rnacentral:rRNA from 1 species
UACGUAGGGUGCGAGCGUUAAUCGGAAUUACUGGGCGUAAAGUGUGCGCAGGCGGUUAUGUGAGACAGAGGUGAAAUCCCCGGGCUCAACCUGGGAACUGCCUUUGUGACUGCAUGACUAGAGUACGGCAGAGGGGGAUGGAAUUCCGCGUGUAGCAGUGAAAUGCGUAGAUAUGCGGAGGAACACCGAUGGCGAAGGCAAUCCCCUGGGCCUGUACUGACGAUCAUGCACGAAAGCGUGGGGAGCAAACAGG